rnacentral:rRNA from 1 species
UACGUAGGUGACCAGCGUUGUCCGGAUUUACUGGGCGUAAAGAGCGCGCAGGCGGUCGUUCAAGUCGAGUGUGAAAGCCCCCCGGCUCAACUGGGGAGGGUCACUCGAUACUGAUCGACUGGAAGGCAGGAGAGGGAAGCGGAAUUCCCGGUGUAGUGGUGAAAUGCGUAGAUAUCGGGAGGAAACACCAGUGGCGAAGGCGGCUCACUGGACCGGUACUGACGCUGAGGCGCGAAAGCGUGGGGAGCAAACGGG